CAAUAUAGCUCAGUCGGUAGAGCAAUUCACUCGUAAUGAAUAGGUCAUCGGUUCGAUUCCGAUUAUUGG
rnacentral:tRNA from 1 species